AAAAAAAAAAAAAAAUUGAGGGCAUUUCACCAUUGUUAACCGAGGGUACCCUUUACAUAUUAUCUGUUAACUAUUGUUAUAUAAUGUAUGCGUAGAUAGUUAUAUAUAUUUCUUCAUUUGCGUAUUUUGUGCAAUGCUGCUAAAUUCCAUGACUUUUUAUAUACGCACGGCUUUUCCCGCGUCCUCCCAAGCGCAUAAUAUCGCAACAACCAGUGUUGAAAUAGCGCUGACAUCGCGGUAACGCGUGAUUGCCUAUCUAGAUAAGAUGCGAUUCAGGGUUGAAUUAUUGUUGACGGGAAAGCGGGCAAAAAGUACGCAAUAACGCAAUACGCAUUGUGCUGUGCCUUCGUGUUCCAAAGGUGAUUAAGACUGAUUUGUUCAUUUUCGAAGCAAAAACUAGUGCGCACUAGUUCAGAGGUUAUCUUUUCUCUUCUUCUUUAAGUACACAAUUAUAUUAUGGAGUGUUGAAUGCGCUGUAUGGAUUUUUGAUCUUAAUAACUCUGCAACAAAUUGUUUGACAAAGAUAAUAAUUGUACAGAUAAUAAUUGUACAGACAAUGAUUUUGUAGAACGCUUUACACAAGUCAAAGAUUAAAGACUAAACUCUUGUAUACGCAUACCCUAAUACGCAUUGUGCUGUGCCUUCGUGUUCCAAAGGUGAUCAAGACUGAAAAUAGAUUUGUUCAUUUUCGAAGCAAAAACUAGUGCGAACUAGUUCAGAGGUUUCCGUUUUUACUCUUCUUCCAUUAAGUACACAAUUAUAUUAUGGAGUGUUGAAUGCACUAUAUGGAUUUUUGAUCUUAAAAACUCUGCAACAAAUUGUUUGACAAAGAUAAUAAUUGUACAGACAAUAAUUUUGUAGAACGCUUUACACAAGCCAAAGAUUAAAGACUAAACUCUCCUAUAAAAGAUUCCAGAAAUUCAAAGACAAAAGUAAUAAUCGAUUGCCACAUUGUCUCAAGCUUGAGCUAUUAUCCAUCCAUAGGUCCAUCAUCCAUAGAGAUUCCAAUAAAUUGGAUUUAUCAAAAUGAUGAAAAUAAUGGCUUCAUUUGUUGGUGGCCUAACACAAAAAAUAUCAGUUUGCUUAUUGAAAAUCGAGCUGAUCUGGAUAAGAAGUUAUGAUCAAUAUUUGACAUAACAGUGAUAAAAUAUUGUUGUAAGUCAAAUAACAAUAUAAACACAGGCUUAUUUUAAAGACCAACCAAAUAAGAAAACAAUUAUCGGCAAGCAUUGUUCGUCACUCGCAUCGGCGCGAAAAUCAGCUGCAGAUGCUCAUUAUACUACGACUGACGAUAAAAAAUGUGGCCGAGGGCAAAGAAAGUUAAAGAAAAAUGAAUACUAUUUUUCUCAGGAGCACGAUGAAAAGGAUUAUACUGAUGAUUCGAAUGAUGAAGAAAGAAAUGUGUGUGAUAAAGAAAAUUACGAUAAUGAAAAAAAUACAUAAAAAAAAAACAAUUAAAUAUUUGAAACAUAGUAUUAGUCGUCCGCCUGUUUUUAUUAAUCCUAUGCCUGAAUACAAUUCUCAGAAAAUAGAUAAUUGCUGCCAAUCUGUCAAUGCUUUCAGUACCGAUAAAAAUUUAAAUUUUGUUUCCAAAAAUACCGAUACUGAGAUUUCAUCAUCACACACAAAUAUCAACAAAUGUAGUUCUAAUGAAAGAGCAAUUCAAAAAACUCCAUAUCCUGAUAAGUCCUCAUCGUCUGUUACAAUGGAUAUUGACAGUAUUCCUAUUUUUGAAAUUCCAAAAGUACAAGCUGUUUACAAUAUUCUAUAACGGAUAGAAACAGAUUUAAAUAAAGUUAUACGUGCAAAUGUUACUACCAAUUUAGAGCUAAUGAAUAUCUCGAAAAGAUUAAGUAAAUUGGAAUCCCGUCAAUGUAAUAAUGCAGAAUUGAUAGAAAAUGAUAUGGUAAUGAUAAUACCAUUAUUGCCACUACAAAUUAGUGGAAUCCAUAAAAGAAUUCGAAAAUUUUAUCAUAUCAAACGAAGUUGCUGCAUCGCAAUUUUGAAUGCAGUUAUCCAUGGAAUAAGAAUCGGUUUACUUUUUGAGAAAAAUGAAGUAAACAGUAAUAAAGAGAAAAAAAAUUGAUUCUAAAAAUUGGAGGCAACGCUCCACGAAAUAGCAUUCAUUAUGCUUUAGAACGAAUUAUCAGCAAUAAAUGCGCUAUGAACUGUUCCUGGAAAGGCGUUCGAUUAAAUUAUAAAAUAUGUGAUUUAAUAUUUAUUAAGAAUAUACCUGAUACCAUAUGUUCUGUACAUUCAGGUUUAACUGAAGCCGAAUUUGACAUAACCGCUGCGAAAUGAUUCCGAUUUGCUAAGCAACGAGCAACGCGGGAAGAAAAAAAAAUAAUCUGUAAUAAUCUGUAUAUCUACAGAUUAUUACAAUACAUGGUGCUAUUUAUAAUUUUAUGUUAGGCUAUUCAAGCAUAGAUCCAGUUUUUGUUUUCUUAGAUAGUCUUAAUUAUUUUAAAAAUUUGAUAAAAAAUGGUCAUUUUUGGUUAUUAUUUUUAUACGUGAAGGUUUUUAUACGGUUUGGUUAUUAUUUUUAUACGUUACUUUUUGUUACUGUUUCUGUCAAAAAGCAGUCACUAUUUUAUUUUUUUUUUGGUCCGAUGACUGGAUGGCAGCGCUGUGUUUCUAAUAUACGAUGCUUUCCAGCAAACUCUACCUCCUUAACAAGUGCACAAUAAAGUGUUCAGGGACAC